GCUCUUGUAGCUCAGCAGGUAGAGCAACCCCAUGGUAAGGGGUAGGUCGCAGGUUCAAAUCCUGUCGGGAGCA
rnacentral:tRNA from 1 species